rnacentral:snRNA from 1 species
AUUGAUUCAAAUACAUCCAC